UUUCUUGCAGUGGAAGACGGUUGGCGACCCGGAUGGCUUUUGUUACCAGGGCCAGCCCAAUCCGCCCGAUUCUCGGUCCCUAUACUGCCUCCUUUUCCCAUGCGCAUCGCAAGGGAUCGGUUGAUGGGGCCCUCAGUAUGACUUCGCUAGGAAAAAUAAAGUGCAGCUCGUUUCUCAGAGCCGGCGGAUGUUCAUGGGCAGCACCAUCGAGCCAGAAGCAGUAUUUGUCCUGGUAAGUCAUUUCUCAACUGCCGAAGUGUACUAGGUUCCAGUCCCGCUGGUUUCUCGAAUCUGCUAGUCCCACACGAGCACCAAUAGGUAAACCCAGCCGGCAGUUUCCGGCUAGCACUUUCGCUAUUUGAAGACAUUAGGAAGUUAUGUGGUGGCUCCGUACCCUCCUUUCUCCAUCCGAGGCCGGGGUCCUAAAGUCGGUGUCACGGUGGCAGCACCCAGCGUUUUGUUGGCUCUUUCGCCAGCAGCGCCGAGCGGG
rnacentral:lncRNA from 1 species